GAUGAACGCUAGCGGCAGGCUUAAUACAUGCAAGUCGAGGGACAGCACAGGUAGAAAUACUGGGUGGUAACCGGCAAACGGGAGCGGAACACGUACACAACCUUACGUUAAGUGGGGGAUAGCCUAGAGAAAUUGGGAUUAAUACACUGUAAUAUAGUUGAAUGGCAUCAUUUGAUUAGUAUAGCUACGGCGCUUAAUGAUGGGUGUGCGGCUGAUUAGAUAGUUGGCGGGGUAACGGCCAACCAAGUCUACGAUCAGUAGCUGAUGUGAGAGCAUGAUCAGCCACACGGGCACUGAGACACGGGCCCGACUCCUACGGGAGGCAGCAGUAAGUAAUAUUGGUCAAUGGACGCAAGUCUGAACCAGCCAUGCCGCGUGAAGGAUUAAGGUCCUCUGGAUUGUAAACUUCUUUUAUUUGGGACGAAAAAGGGCCUUUCUAGGUCAACUGACGGUACCAGAUGAAUAAGCACCGGCUAACUCCGUGCCAGCCGCCGCCGUAAAAC
rnacentral:rRNA from 1 species